UACGUAGGGGGCGAGCGUUGUCCGGAUUUAUUGGGCGUAAAGAGCGUGUAGGCGGCCAGGUAGGUCUGCUGUGAAAACUCGAGGCUCAACCUCGAGACGUCGGCGGAAACCAUCUGGCUAGAGUCCGGAAGAGGAGAGUGGAAUUCCUGGUGUAGCGGUGGAAUGCGCAGAUAUCAGGAGGAACACCAAUGGCGAAGGCAGCUCGCUGGGACGGUACUGACGCUGAGGUGCGAAAGCGUGGGGAGCAAACAGG
rnacentral:rRNA from 1 species